rnacentral:rRNA from 1 species
UACGUAGGGCGCAAGCGUUGUCCGGAAUUAUUGGGCGUAAAGAGCUCGUAGGCGGCUUGUCACGUCGGGUGUGAAAGCCCGGGGCUUAACCCCGGGUCUGCAUUCGAUACGGGCUAGCUAGAGUGUGGUAGGGGAGACUGGAAUUCCUGGUGUAGCGGUGGAAUGCGCAGAUAUCAGGAGGAACACCGGUGGCGAAGGCGGGUCUCUGGGCCAUUACUGACGCUGAGGAGCGAAAGCGUGGGGAGCGAACAGG